CGUGAUGCUUUCGUCAUUUGUUAACAUUUAACAAUGGUCACUGAAAGAACUUGUGACUUGUCCCAAGUCAGGGUCCGGUUGUCUUACGAACAGUUUGGUGCCUUUCUGGCAAAUGUUAAGGAAUUGAAUUCCCACAAACAAACAUUUGAUCCAGUGACACAUAAGCAGCUUCAGUGAACAUUACUUACGAAUGAUCAAUCCCUCAAAUAUUGCGUAAAGGUCCUUAUUAUCAGGGCCAAAAAUUUCAUCAGCCUUCCUCAGAGUCUCUUCUUUUGUUUGCUUGUGGGAAUUCAAUUCCUUAACAUUUGCCAGAAAGGCACCAAACUGUUCGUAAGACAACCGGACCCUGACUUGGCGGAAGAAUUCUUUCCCAUCCACACGAGUUCGUCCUGUCUGUGACCCUGUGUCAGAGCUUGACGCUGAACCAUGUUGGCCUGAUGGCAGAGAAGAAAAUAUCGAAGACCUAUCAUCAGGCAUCCCCCUUGAGGUAGAAAAUGACAUUGAAUGCCGUCUUGGGGACACUGGUUUAGAAGUUCUUGUUGGAGACACUGAAGCUGAAAAACUAGGAGGAGAACCUGGAGGAGUAAAUCGGGGAGUGCUUGUUUGGGAUGCUAGCAGAAUACUGCGUGAUAUGCCAGUUCUUGACACAUCUGUUCCACGAUCCUCUGCAAAUGAGUUUCCCAUUUCAGUGUAAUGGCUCCGCAUAGAAGAUGAUCUUGAAGGUGGCAAGGAGGCAUCAUCUUCGUUUGGUGUUGGCUUGGCAAUGAUAUGCAAAGCUCCUGAAGAAUUUUCUUCAUCCUCUUGAAGUGAUUGCAUGAGUGUCUUCCUGAACACCUCCAACUUGGAAACGUCUCUCUGCAGCUUCUUCACAGUGUUGGAUAAUGAAGCGUUCUCCUUCAACAAAUUCUCCUUUUCGAGACCAGCGAGGGCGAGUUUAUCAGCGGUAUCGGAAAGGGAGGUAUCAAAGGACCGAAUCUGAGAUUGGAGGUCGGCGAUGAGGUCAUCUUUCUCGGCGAGUUGA
rnacentral:misc_RNA from 1 species